UACGAAGGGGGCUAGCGUUGCUCGGAAUCACUGGGCGUAAAGCGCACGUAGGCGGAUUGUUAAGUCGGGGGUGAAAUCCUGGAGCUCAACUCCAGAACUGCCUUCGAUACUGGCGAUCUUGAGUCCGGGAGAGGUGAGUGGAACUCCGAGUGUAGAGGUGAAAUUCGUAGAUAUUCGGAAGAACACCAGUGGCGAAGGCGGCUCACUGGCCCGGUACUGACGCUGAGGAGCGAAAGCGUGGGGAGCGAACAGG
rnacentral:rRNA from 1 species